UAGAGUAAUUCUGUGAACCCAACCCAUUGUUCCUUCCAAAGUUACUUUCACAUUUCCACUGCCAACAGGAACCGAUUCUUCUGUCAUUUGGCCUUUUCUCACGUACAUCCAUCAGAAAAUAAUGACAAUCCCUUGAUGGAGGUGGGAACUAUUUCUGCAUUCUAGAAGUUCAUUGAACAAGCUAUUCCCUCACAUGAUGGGGAGGCAUCAAUCAACAGAAUAUUUUGGGGGUGGGCACUAGCUUUAAGUUCUAUCCCCCCCCCCGAUCAUAAACAAAACAAACCUGUAGAUCUGCUCCACUUGGUUCAUUUAAAAUGCUCUACACAAGCCUGAUAGUUCAUAGCUUGUUUGGUAGAUUUCAGAGGAGGCCUAGGUAAAAUAAUUACCUAGUUUUUUAAAAGAGAGGUCCUACUUGUUACUUUCCUGGGGAAUUGCAGUUGAAGCAGGCUUCGGAGCACCUCAAAUUUGGUUUUAAAAUGUGACUCGCUUCGCGGCUGGGUGUUUAAGAUUAAAUGAUGGUCUGUGAAUAACAUUGCAUAAUAACACACUGACAUUAUGUGUUGGGUGCCUCAUAUCAUCUGUGGGCCCUACCUUCAUCUUGAAUUAGAAUUUCAUGCCUGGGGAGAAUGGAAGACGAAUGGAAGUAUCUGGCUAGCGGUGACUGGAAAGGCAUAUAUUAUCUCAUCACAAAUCUCUCUUCUCCAAAUUUCCUACACAUACAUUGGACAUACAUUGCCUUCUGCACUACCACCACUAGGUGAUAGCACUACUGGAAAAAAGAAAUUGGUCCAGAAUUAAAGUCAGAGUUGCUGACAGAACUCACUUGAUGUCAAGUGUUUGCUUGAAAAAUACCAAUUGGAAGUACAUUGUGCAAGCUUGAAAAGUAAAGGUAAUUAGUUUUCUCAAUGGCUUUAACAAAAUGUGAUUAAAGUGCAAACUAUAGGCUUUCUGAAAGAGGUGAAGUAAUUAAACUGCAAAGGUGCUGUGGGAAUUCAGUGGUGCUCUGUGUGACUCGUGUUAAAUAAGAAAUCAAAAAGGCACAAUGACUCUCAAUCUGUAAAAAUUAAAGUUUGCGAAAAGGGCUGUAUUUUGUAUAUUGAAGGAUCAUAAGCAGUCUUCCUCUUUCUACCAUCCUCUUAAAAAGUGAGCGGAAAUAAUUAUACAUUGAGCAAAGCUAAAAAAAAUCCUUUUGCUAGAGAUAUUCAAAUAAGCAACUGACUUAAUAUCAAUAGCGUGUGGUAGAGUGUUUCUUACAAUCCAUGCCAGGAACAGAAACUUGGCAUCUUGGUAGCAUGUAAAUGAUCUUUUGUUUGUUUGCAGAUGCUCUGUUCUGAACUCUAUGCAUGCAAAAGUAGUUUAUACAAAUAAGGAAAAAUGGCUUAUGUAAUGGGAAUGUCAGAGUGCACUCAUUAUCGUUAGUCAGGAUUCUCUCUUCUUCACCAGGUAGAUGAGUCCAAGAUUCAGUUCAGAGAACAAUAUACACUACUAUUAAAAUGAAAUAUAUUUUUUAUCUACCUCACCAUUUCUAGUAGCCAAGAAGGCUGUUUAUUAUCCUAACAGGUAUCCUAAUGAGAUUGUUUACAGUGGAGCUUGUUGGGGUUGGGAGGCUAAGUAAUAGUGCAUCUUGUGUUUAUCUGUAAAAGGAGUCUGAGCUCACUUUAAAUUCUUAAAACUAGAGGAGGGAAAUUAGAUUGGUGAGUCCUUUGAACUUGCUGCACCAAGAACCAGCUGCUUGCAAAGGAGGAUUAAAACCUUUUAAUCCUUUUGUGCAAAAUAAUAUGGUGUUUAAUGUGGUAAGCAUGCUAGCAAAAUUAAUUUUCAUGUUUCUUUUUUCAGGCAGGAGCAUUCAUAUCCAUCUCUUCUCAGGCAGGAUAAAUUUAGUUCUGCCUCUAUUCCUGGCUGUGCAUGCUCUGGACUUUUUGCACUUUGCAGUGCAAUUUAAUAAUUUUGACAUUUUCAGGAAAGUUGUAAAUUAGGAACUGUGGGUUUCAGUGUAAGCCCCCUGCAACCAUCUGUUAGAACAGGGUCAGACACUGCUGGGAAAGCUGCCUAAGGCAGUUCAGUAAUAACCCAGCUUUGCAAAUAAGUUCACCAAAGUAACUAGCCUACAAAACAUUUUAAUCGCCCACCUACAGAUACAUCCAUUCAAUUUAAAACAUUUUUUGAGGGGAGCUAACUAAUUUCAGACUAUAGAAAGCAAAGGCUACCCCUGCCCCCAGCUGUCUGGCGAUUACAG